GACGUAGGGCGCGAGCGUUGUCCGGAUUUAUUGGGCGUAAGAGCUCGUAGGCGGCUUGUCGCGUCGACUGUGAAAUCCCGCGGCUCAACUGCGGGUCUGCAGUCGAUACGGGCAGGCUAGAGUUCGGUAGGGGAGACUGGAAUUCCUGGUGUAGCGGUGAAAUGCGCAGAUAUCAGGAGGAACACCGGUGGCGAAGGCGGGUCUCUGGGCCGAUACUGACACUGAGGAGCGAAAGCGUGGGGAGCGAACAGG
rnacentral:rRNA from 1 species